GUGAAAGUUUCGGGCCUGCCAUACGGACGCAAACACGUCUCUGGCGCCCAUCACUAUAUCCAUACCAACCCCUGUGCACUGUGAUGACGAAUGUCAUCGAACAAAAAAAAACUCGUAUGGUUGAAUGUACGUGAAAUUGUAGGUAUAGCCUACGAACUAUACA
rnacentral:misc_RNA from 1 species